rnacentral:rRNA from 1 species
UACGUAGGGGGCGAGCGUUGUCCGGAAUGACUGGGCGUAAAGCGCGCGCAGGCGGUUUUCCACGUCUGAGGUGAAAGGCUGAGGCUCAACCUUGGCAUGGCCUUGGAAACGGGGAGACUUGAGGACUGGAGAGGCAAGGGGAAUUCCACGUGUAGCGGUGAAAUGCGUAGAGAUGUGGAGGAAUACCAGUGGCGAAGGCGCCUUGCUGGACAGAACCUGACGCUGAGGCGCGAAGGCGUGGGGAGCAAACAGG